rnacentral:rRNA from 1 species
CACUCCUGCGGGAGGCAGCAGUGGGGAAUAUUGGACAAUGGGCGCAAGCCUGAUCCAGCCAUGCCGCGUGAGUGAUGAAGGCCCUAGGGUUGUAAAGCUCUUUCACCGGUGACGAUAAUGACGGUAACCGGAGAAGAAGCCCCGGCUAACUUCGUGCCAGCAGCCGCGGUAAUACGAAGGGGGCUAGCGUUGUUCGGAUUUACUGGGCGUAAAGCGCACGUAGGCGGACUAUUAAGUCAGGGGUGAAAUCCCGGGGCUCAACCCCGGAACUGCCUUUGAUACUGGUAGUCUUGAGUACGAGAGAGGUGAGUGGAAUUCCGAGUGUAGAGGUGAAAUUCGUAGAUAUUCGGAGGAACACCAGUGGCGAAGGCGGCUCACUGGCUCGAUACUGACGCUGAGGUGCGAAAGCGUGGGGAGCAAACAGGAUUAGAUACCCCGGUAGUCCCAUGA